rnacentral:rRNA from 1 species
AGCAGCCGCGGUAAUUCCAGCUCCAAUAGCGUAUAUUAAAGUUGUUGCAGUUAAAAAGCUCGUAGUUGAAUUUCGGGAUCAAUAUGUUGGUCGUGCCUUUGGUACGUACUAGCUUAUUGAUUUCUCCCUUCUGACGAACCAUGAUGUCAUUAAUUUGGUGUCAUGGGGAAUCAGGACUGUUACUUUGAAAAAAUUAGAGUGUUUAAAGCAGGCUUACGCUUGAAUAUAUUAGCAUGGAAUAAUGAAAUAGGACGUUUUGAUUCUAUUUUGUUGGUUUCUAGGAUCGACGUAAUGAUUAAUAGGGAUAGUUGGGGGCAUUAGUAUUCAAUUGUCAGAGGUGAAAUUCUUGGAUUUAUUGAAGACUAACUACUGCGAAAGCAUUUGCCAAGGAUGUUUUCAUUAAUCAAGAACGAAAGUUAGGGGAUCGAAGACGAUCAGAUACCGUCGUAGUCUUAACCAUAAACUAUGCCGACUAGGGAUCGGAUGAUGUUAAUUUUUAAUGACUCAUUC